AUUCUGGUUGAUCCUGCCAGAGGUCACUGCUAUCGGGGUUGCAUUAAGCCAUGCGAGUCGAGGGGGUUCAGACCCUCGGCGGACUGCUCAGUAACACGUGGAUAACCUGACCUGUGGUGGAGGAUAACCCCGGGAAACUGGGGAUAAUACUCCAUAAGUUACGAAAUCUGGAAUGAUUUGUAGCUCAAAGCUCCGGCGCCACAGGAUGGAUCUGCGGCCGAUUAGGUAGUAGUUGGGGUAGAGGCCCAACUAGCCUGUAAUCGGUACGGGUUGUGGGAGCAAGAGCCCGGAGAUGGAAUCUGAGACACGAUUCCAGGCCCUACGGGGCGCAGCAGGCGCGAAAACUUUACAAUGCAGGAAACUGUGAUAAGGGAACCCCGAGUGCCCGUACACGCGGGCUGUCUGGGUGUUUAAAAUGCACCCAAAGAAAGGGCCGGGCAAGACCGGUGCCAGCCGCCGCGGUAAUACCGGCGGCUCGAGUGGUGACCACUUUUAUUGGGCUUAAAGCGUUCGUAGCUGGACAGUUAAGUCUCUUGGGAAAUCCGUCGGCUCAACCGACCGGCGUCUAAGAGAUACUGGCAGUCUUGGGACCCGGAGAGGUAAGAGGUACUCCCGGGGUAGGAGUGAAAUCCUGUGAUCCCCGGGGGACCACCCGUUGCCAAGGCGUCUUACCAGAACGGCUCCCACAGUUAGGAACGAAAGCUGGGGGAGCGAACCGGAUUAGAUACCCGGGUAGUCCCAGCCGUAAACGAUGCGCGUUAGGUGUACCGGCGACCACGAGUUGCCGGGGUGCCGAAGGGAAACCGUGAAACGUGCCGCCUGGGAAGUACGGUCGCAAGGCUGAAACUUAAAGGAAUUGGCGGGGGAGCACUACAACGGGUGGAGCCUGCGGUUUAAUUGGAGUCAAC
rnacentral:rRNA from 1 species